CCUACGGGGUGCAGCAGUGGGGAAUAUUGCACAAUGGGCGAAAGCCUGAUGCAGCGACGCCGCGUGAGUGAAGAAGUAUUUCGGUAUGUAAAGCUCUAUCAGCAGGGAAGAAAAUGACGGUACCUGACUAAGAAGCCCCGGCAAACAACGUGCCAGCAGCCGCGGGCAUAAGUAGGGGGCCAGCGUUAUCCGGAUUUAAUGGGUGUAAAGGGAGCGUACACGGGAAAGGAAGGCUGACGUGAAAACACGGGGGUCAAACCUGGGACUGCUUUGGACACUGCUUUGCUAGAGUGUCGGAGAGGUAAGUGGAAUGCGUGGUGGAGCGGUGAAAUGCAUAGAUAUUAGGAGGAACACCAGUGGCGAAGGCGGCUUACUGGACGAUAACUGACGUUGAGGCUCGAAAGCGUGGGGAGCGAACAGGAUUAGAUACCCUUGUAGUC
rnacentral:rRNA from 1 species